rnacentral:rRNA from 1 species
AUGGCGGGCGCGACCAUGGCGCUCUCCUCCCCGGCGAUGGCGGGCACCCCGGUGAAGGCCUCCAGGGCGGCGCCCUUCGGCGAGGGCCGCAUCACCAUGCGCAAGACGGCGGGCAAGCCCAAGGUGGCGGCGUCCAGCAGCCCGUGGUACGGCUCCGACCGCGUGCUCUACCUCGGCCCGCUCUCCGGCGACCCCCCGAGCUACCUCACCGGCGAGUUCCCCGGCGACUACGGCUGGGACACCGCGGGCCUCUCCGCCGACCCCGAGACCUUCGCCAAGAACCGGGAGCUGGAGGUGAUCCACUGCCGCUGGGCCAUGCUCGGCGCGCUCGGCUGCGUCUUCCCGGAGCUGCUCGCCCGCAACGGCGUCAAGUUCGGCGAGGCCGUGUGGUUCAAGGCCGGCUCCCAGAUCUUCAGCGAGGGCGGCCUCGACUACCUCGGCAACCCCAGCCUGGUGCACGCGCAGAGCAUCCUCGCCAUCUGGGCCUGCCAGGUGGUGCUCAUGGGCGCCGUGGAGGGCUACCGCGUCGCCGGCGGCCCGCUCGGCGAGAUCGUGGACCCGCUCUACCCCGGCGGCAGCUUCGACCCCCUGGGCCUCGCCGAGGACCCCGAGGCGUUCGCGGAGCUCAAGGUGAAGGAGAUCAAGAACGGCCGCCUCGCCAUGUUCUCCAUGUUCGGCUUCUUCGUGCAGGCCAUCGUCACCGGCAAGGGGCCCCUGGAGAACCUCGCCGACCACCUCGCCGACCCCGUCAACAACAACGCCUGGGCCUUCGCCACCAACUUCGUCCCCGGCAAGUGA